CCGGACAUGAAUUUCAUCUCUAAUGAACAUUUUGGGGGGUAUAUAGGACCGGGGGAGGGAAGGGUUGUUUAUUUUUACUUGAUCUUGCUUGAUACAGUGCACCCAGUCCCUGAGGAAGUCCAAUCUGUGGACGAAACGCAUAGGACACUCAGUGGUGACACGGAUUGUUUUUAAAUUUGAUGUAAGUUAUUAAAACAUUUUUUAUUGUACUCUGGAUAUUGCACCUUCAAUUUUGUUCUAUCUACAUUCUCUUUUGAGCUCAUAUAUCCCAGUUGCAGUCUAACAAUGGGG